rnacentral:tRNA from 1 species
GCCUUCGCCACCGGGGUGGAGGCCGUCUUGGUAUGACGGCCCGCGCGGGUUCGACUCCCGCCGAAGGCUCCA